CGUGACAUGCACAUUCAACGGAUAUGAAAAGGAAGUCGCAGAAUAGGCUAUCAGCGAACGAACAAGUUACCCGGGGCUCCUACGUAGAAUCCGUGUCACUGUGGCAUUAUACCUGAAGGCUGAUGAUGACAAGGUAGGGUCUUUGGAGCUCGGUGUACACCAAUUGAAAGAGAAGUCAAGGUUCUGCUUUCAUGCUAGACGAUCAUAUUAACCUAUCCGACAGAGAAUCCGCCGCCCAUGGUCAUGCAGACGUCACGGAAUCGUCAGAGUAAGGCGCAAUCUGGUAAAGUUUGUGUGCAACUAGUAACACUACCUAUUGCAUGUACUUGCCAAUGACAUUAUGUGAAAAUCUGGCUAAAGUUGGGACACCCCAAAUACUUUUUGAUCUCCCUGGACUUGAUCUCCACAUUACUAUUUCUAAUACUUUACUAUUAGAUAUAGGCGGACUAAUUUUGUAGCGUUGAUAUCAAUGCACAACUUAUUGAUAUUAAUUAUUUAACUUGGCUGCUUUCUGCACGUGAUGGGAGGGAGAGUGGGAGGAGAGAAGAAAGCAGUCUGGGGACAGCUCUAUUGUAAUUGACUUCGGAAGAAGGCAGUGUUUGUCUUAAUCUUAACGUAAUACCAGGGGUUUCCCCAGGAAUUAAUAACAGCGCGGUAUUUUAUUAAUAUUAAUUAGCCACCGAGAUCUUAUCUUAAACAGAAGAAGUAACUUUCAUUAAUUAAUGAUUGUCAGACUUAUUGGUGUCGCCACUGACAUAAAUAUCAUGAAAGCGUGGUAGGAACAGAUGCCACAUGGAUAGUUACUAGGUCAAGGUGAUAUGCAUUACUGUCUUUAUCACAACACAACAAAUUCAUACCAGCAUCUGGUGGAUACAGAUCUUUGCUAACAGUAUCCACACUGUAGGAUAUGGAAGACAUGUUACACCUGCUUGAAGACCUGAACUGAUUGGAAUGCUGUCAGAGUAGACAGUUAUCAUGUAAGGAUGUUUAGUCAGAAGUGCUAACUUAAACGUUUAGCCUAUUACAAACAUAGUGAUAAUAAGGUCUUGGAAUGCUGUCAGAGUAUGAACUUAUCAUGGGAUGUAGUAGUCAGAGGUGAUAAGAGAUCUUGUACAGCUUACUAUGCAUACUAAAUUUUAGUAGUCCUGUGAGUAAAUACUGUGAAAUUUUAUAUUGUUAUUCCAGUUGAGUGGUUACACUCGGUAAAUCGAUCUGUUAGGGUACACUAAACAAGAAUGACAAACACCUCACACACAGUAAACAGUUACCUCAAAUGAGGGUUGACAAUGAAAGCAAAAGUUACUUGACUAUACAACACAAUGAUCUGGCCAAAUCUACUUGACGGCAGACAAGCACCUAGUUAUCUACAGGAUUAUGUGUACAAGGUGGCAUUGAAGAAAUGCUAAUUACAAAGCUGUGGGUGUGGUGAGCUGGGACUAAUGUCAGGUCAAUGCGCGAGCGACAGACUUCUAACCCUGUAGAUAAUUGGAUGCUGCUCUGCCGUCAGGUAAUUACGCUUUGGGCAGAUAAAAUUACGUGCUGUGCCGUUAAGUAACUUUUGGAAUUCCUUAUUAACCAUCAUUUGAGAUACAGUCAUCACCAUAGCACCAUCACCACAGCGCGGCGCAGUGCCUUGGCGCCGCGCUAUAGGGAAGCCCCUGAAUACCCACGUUCAUUAGAAACGGUGAGUCACUGACAAUCAUAUAACCACUUACAGCAAUCAGAUACCGAGUAGUAGUAACCGUUAGAUCCAUAGUGCAGUUGUUGUGUAUAAUGUCCACGGCUCGAAUGCCAAAGGAGUUUCUUGCAGCCGACAAGUGGUGGCUGUGGUAACCGCUUUCUGAGCUCCUAAAGCAAACACAAUUUGUUUCAAAGGAGCCAGGAUCUCUUCACAAAGCUUCAGCAAGCUACCGGAUGAGACAUCUGACACAGGUGGCCUUUCACACUACGUAUGUGGUUCGUGUAGAAGCAGACUGCUGACUUUCGAACGCGAGUGCAACAAACUUGAAUCCACGAAGGAGUCCAUUACGUGGACAUACAGCAAGAGACUGUCUUGUUGGAGGUUCAAGAUAGGAGUCAUAGCGUCUCCAACAAGUUCAUCUACUGUCAAGAAAUCAGACGUAACGGCCAGUUCCCGAUGGCUGGUGAUGAAAGACCCUCAUGAGAAACUGCUGGUGCUGCAAUUUAUUGCCCUUUCAUGCACAAAAUCGCACAUACCGUCUUUGCUGGAAAAUUUGCUGCAAAGAAGUCUGUAACACCUCAUUGUGUACGUCGCGCAAUGGCUUUACUGUCGUUACGUAUUCCAGUGCCCAUUUGUCGUUUACCUCAGCG